rnacentral:rRNA from 1 species
CAGCAGCCACGGGAAUACGAAGGGGGCUAGCGUUGUUCGGAUUUACUGGGCGUAAAGGGUGCGUAGGCGGAUUGUUAAGUCAGGGGUGAAAUCCCGAGGCUCAACCUCGGAACUGCCUUUGAUACUGGCGAUCUUGAGUCCGGGAGAGGUGAGUGGAACUGCGAGUGCAGAGGUGAAAUUCGUAGAUAUUCGCAAGAACACCGGUGGCGAAGGCGGCUCACUGGCCCGGUACUGACGCUGAGGCACGAAAGCGUGGGGAGCAAACAGGAUUAGAUACCCGGGUAGUCCCUGUCUCUUAUAC